AUGCCAUCGAGAAAUCAUCUUGACAAAGUCGGUAGGAAGAAGAAGAAGAAAUGGACCGAGGAGGCCAUGGAACGUGCACUGAUCGAGGUGAAGUCAGGAAGGUGUACAGUGAGACAGGCUGCCAAAGAGUUUGGAGUCCCUAAAUCUUCACUGGGGGACAGAGUCAGUGGACGGGUGACACCAGGGAGUCGCAGCGGGCCAGCUCAACUUAUAACAUCUGCAGACGAGGAGCUGUUGGUGGAGUUCUCUAUAUACAUGUCCAAGCAUGGUUUCCCACUGACGAAGCAACAGCUGGUGUCCUUUGCCUCAUCCAUUUAUAAGCGGCAGCAUCGGAGGGUGGCAUUUUCUAAACUAGGCCAGACCUGGUGGCUCAAUUUCAGAAAACGCCAAGAAAAGAAUAUCACCAUUCAGCCAGCAGACAAUGCUGUCCGUGGAAGGACAACAUGUGUGAGAAAAGAAGCAGUGGAUCAGUUUUUACAUUUACUGAGUACGGUCAUGGACGCUCGAGGGCUCAGAGACAAGCCUCAUCAAAUCUUCAACUGCAAUGAGACAGGAUUUCAGCUGGGCAGGAAGAGAGUGAUUCUCCCCAAAUCUGCCAGUCUGGGCCACAAAGCAACGCCAGGAUCGAGGGACCACAUCUCCGUCCUGGCUUGCUUUAGCGCAGCUGGAGAGGAAAUUCACCCAUUUAUUAUCUACUCAAAGGCAUACCCAGGGGGAGUAUGUUACAAGACUCAAGGGCCUCCAAAUGCCCUCUAUGGAUGGUCAGACUCUGGUUAUAUCAACUCAGACCUUUUCAAGAAAUGGUUCCUCAAGCACUUCCUCCUUCACGCACCAAAGGAGCGUCCGCUGCUCCUGAUUUUCGAUGGUCACAAGUCUCCCAUAAACCUUGAGGUGGUGGAAACAGCUCGUAACGAGGACGUCAUCCUUCUGUGCCUUCCACCGCAUUGCUCUCACAUCCUGCAGCCACUCGACGCGGGUCUCUUUGUCCUCCUGAAGCAGCGGUUUGCAGCCCUCAUAGGUGAUGGUUGUGCUACUGAUACUCACUUUGCAGUUAGCAAGAAGGAGUUCUCAGGUGUAUUUAAAGGGACGUAUCAGGUAGCAAAGGAAGAGGAGGGUGUCAGUAUUGUGAAGGAAGGCUAUAGGAAAUGUGGCAUCUACCCGCUGAACCACUUUGCCAUCAACGAGGGUCAUUUAAUGCCAUUGCACAGCAUGUGCCCAGCAACUGGACCCUCCUUGUCCGCAUCGGCACAGGGAGUGCACAAUGAAGGAGACCUCACAGCAGCUGGAUCCUCCUUGUCCGCAUCGGCACAGGAAGUGCACAAUGAAGGAGACCUCACAGCUGCUGGAUCCUCCUCAUGA
ensembl:lncRNA